CAUUCCUUUCUCCUUAACUAAAAAAUACGAGAUAGACGAAAGAUGGAAGGGAUACUGGAAGCUGGCCACAGAUUUAGAGAGACUAGUAAUAUUUCCACUCAUAAAAACGACAAAAAGACCAGACUUAGUCCUAUGGGACAGAGAACAG